ACCUACGGGGGGCAGCAGUGGGGGAUAUUGCACAAUGGGGGCAACCCUGAUGCAGCGACGCCGCGUGAGCGAUGGAGUACUUCGGUAUGUAAAGCUCUGUCAGCAGGGAAGAGAAUGACGGUACCUGACCAAGAAGCCCCGGCUAAAUACGUGCCAGCAGCCGCGGUAAUACGUAGGGGGCGAGCGUUAUCCGGAUUUACUGGGUGUAAAGGGAGCGUAGACGGCUGGUCAAGUCUGAAGUGAAAGCCCGGGGCUUAACCCCGGAACGGCUUUGGAAACUGAGCAGCUAGAGUGCUGGAGAGGUA
rnacentral:rRNA from 1 species